UACGUAGGGUGCGAGCGUUAAUCGGAAUUACUGGGCGUAAAGCGUGCGCAGGCGGUGAUGUAAGACAGAUGUGAAAGCCCCGGGCUUAACCUGGGAACUGCGUUUGAAACUGGGAGACUUGAGUGUGGCAGAGGGGGGUGGAAUUCCACGUGUAGCAGUGAAAUGCGUAGAUAUGUGGAGGAACACCGAUGGCGAAGGCAGCCCCCUGGGUUAACACUGACGCUCAUGCACGAAAGCGUGGGGAGCAAACAGG
rnacentral:rRNA from 1 species